CCUACGGGAGGCUGCAGUGGGGAAUAUUGGACAAUGGGGGGAACCCUGAUCCAGCCAUGCCGCGUGUGUGAAGAAGGCCCUCGGGUUGUAAAGCACUUUCAGUGAGGAAGAACGCCUGGUGGUUAAUACCCAUCAGGAAAGACAUCACUCACAGAAGAAGCACCGGCUAACUCCGUGCCAGCAGCCGCGGUAAUACGGAGGGUGCGAGCGUUAAUCGGAAUUACUGGGCGUAAAGCGCGCGUAGGUGGCUUGAUAAGCCGGUUGUGACAGCCCCGGGCUCAACCUGGGAACGGCAUCCGGAACUGUCAAGCUAGAGUGCAGGAGAGGAAGGUAGAAUUCCCGGUGUAGCGGUGAAAUGCGUAGAGAUCGGGAGGAAUACCAGUGGCGAAGGCGGCCUUCUGGACUGACACUGACACUGAGGUGCGAAAGCGUGGGUAGCAAACAGGAUUAGAUACCCUAGUAGUC
rnacentral:rRNA from 1 species